UAAAAUGAUUAUAAGCGAAAACCCUACAACAGAAUUGUACCCACUUGAUAUAAGUAUUAAACAAGCGACAUAGCGCGGAUAUGCCAGUUAUUUUUAUCCCCGCCGCCGGUAUAAAGUAUAACUUAGAACUGGCAGUGACUAGGGGAAUCCGACUGUUUAAUUAAAACAAAGCAUUGCGAUGGCCGGAAACGGUGUUGACGCAAUGUGAUUUCUGCCCAGUGCUCUGAAUGUCAAAGUGAAGAAAUUCGACCAAGCGCGGGUAAACGGCGGGAGUAACUAUGACUCUCUUAAAAAUGCAAAAGAGCUGGGCACCCAUAUUUGAGAAGAAGCCGGUUGAAGAUGUUCGGGUGGUGGAGGUUGUUAACCCCAUAGCAUGGGAUACCCUUGCACCAGUUUCCGUAGCGGAGUUAGAAGGGAUAAUUAAGAAGGGCACAAAAUCGGCUGCCGGUUUAGACGGUUUAUCAUUUGGUGACGUGUGGAAGCUGGGUUUUUGGGAAACUUAGAAGCCAGUUCAAUCUCUGGCUGUUGUCCGGUACACAACCGGAGCAGCUCUGCUCAGGCCGAACAAUCUUUCUGCGAUUAUCUAUUCGGCAAAACGUGACCUAAAGCCGCUCAACCUGGUGUUUGUGGAUGUCAGCAAAGCAUUUGACUCCGUCAGCCAUAAGACCAUUCUCCUAGCCCUGAAGCGACUUGGAAUACCGCCGCCGUUACUGUCGUACGUGUUUGACCUGUAUAGUAGAUCGACUACGAUCUUACAGCACGGUGGACGUGGGAGCCAGCCGCUAAGCGUUAGGCAGGGGGUGAAACAAGGUGACCCCUGUCUCCGUUCAUCUUCAACGCGGUAAUUGACUGGGCCCUAUCAGAACUAGAUCCGCUGAUUGGAGUUAAAUUUGGAGGAAUUAUGGUGAAUGCACUGGCCUACGCAGACGAUGUGGUGCUAUUAGCCGAAACAAGGGCUGGGUUGUCUAAAAUCGUGUCAGCCUUUGAAAGAAACCUAGCACUGGGUAGUCUAACAAUUAGCUCUGGACCGAAGGGUAAAUCCGCGACACUAUCUAUCGCCGUGGAUGGGAACGCAAAGAAGUGAAUGGUUGUUGACGAGCCCUUUCUUACUGUUGCAGGCAAGGUAGUCCCUUCUAUUGGGCCCACUAGUGACUACAGGUACCUCGGGAUCCUGAAUCUGCCGGAGGUGCUAGGGUGCGGACAGACUGUAGAGAGAUUCUCACGGAGGGGUUCAAAAACAUCACUAGAGCACCCCUGAAACCACACCAACGGCUUAUUUUACUUAAAACCUACUUUUUACCGCGCUUUAUGCACCAGCUGGUACUCGCCCCAGUUAAUGAUGGUUUCCUUCGGUGGUUUGACAACUGUGUGCGAGCGGCCUGUCGCUCUUGGCUGAAAUUGCCACACGACACGUGCAUGGCUUUCUUUCACGCUGCUAUAUUGGACGGCGGUAUGGGUAUACCGUCCCUACGUUAUCUGGUGCCACUUCUUAAACGAGACCGAUUCCUCAAAAUCCCCCCCCCCCCUAGAAUGGGAGGUGCGGAGUUUGUCGGGGCCAUCCGUGCACGCGGGGGACUUCUUUUCUCUAAGACCCGGGCGGCGAGGGGGCGGCAGGUGGCUAAUGUUAACUGUGAAUCCUGCCUUCGCCCCCAAUCCGCACAGCACAUGGUUCAAAUUUGUCCCAAGUCGCAUGGUGCCAGAAUUCGCCGUCACGACGGCAUUGUCGAAUUUCUAGCUAAGGCUGCAACUCGAAAGGGUCUCACGGUUCAAUGUGAACCCUUGAUCUCAGACCCUAUGUACGGUCUGCGAAAACCCGACCUCGUUGCUGCUGGGGAACAACAGGCCUUUGUUAUUGAUGUUACUGUCUGCUCUGAAAACAUAGAUCCAGAUGCGGCACAUCGGCAGAAGUGCUUAUACUAUAACACGGAGGGUGUCGUGGAGUGGGUUAAGAAGAAGACUGGUUGUAGGGAAGUCGUCUUUGGUGCUUGUGCAGUCUCAUGGCGGGGUGUGUUCAGUGGUUUGAGUGCAGACUUUCUGGUCAAGAAGUUGAGGUUGCCUAAAGGGGUAAUACCAGUGUGCGCCCUGAAAGCAGUCACUGGGUCAGCUAAGGUUCACAAAUUUUAUAACAGCACCACUUUCAUCUAAUUGCUUGCUCAGUUGGAACUUUUCUCAUUCAUACUAGUAAUUAGCCAAUAUUGGAUCCUUUUUAUUUUUCUAUUUCACUAUUCAUUUUAGUAAUUACUUAGCUCAUUGAAAGGCGUCGGCCAGCCUAAGGGCCUAAUUUCUACGUAAUUUUAUAUUUAGUAUUAUUAGAAUUAGUUUUUAGCUAAGGUAGUUAAAUAAAGGCCUAGGCCCUGGUAAUAAUAUUUAAAAAUCCUUAUUUUGUUUUUAAAAACGUAGAACACAAGGUAGCCAAAUGCCCCGUCAUCUAAUUAGUGACGCGCAUGAAUGGAUUAACGAGAUUCCCACUGUCCCUAUGUACUAUCUAGCGAAACCACAGCCAAGGGAACGGGCUUGGCAGAAUCAGCAGGGAAAGAAGACCCUGUUGAGCUUGACUCUAGUCUGACUCUGUGAAAAGACAUGAGAGGUGUAGAAUAAGUGGGAGUAGCAAUACGUCGGUGAAAUACCACUACUCUUAUUGUUUUUUUACUUAUUCGAUGAAGCGGAAGCGAACCGCAAGGUUCACGUUCUGGAUUUAAGGUCUCUCUUUUGCAGACCGAUCCGUGUCGAAGACACUGUCAGGUUGGGAGUUUGGCUGGGGCGGCACAUCUGUCAUACGAUAACGCAGGUGUCCUAAGGUGAGCUCAAUGAGAACAGAAAUCUCAUGUAGAACAAAAGGGUAAAAGCUCACUUGAUUUUGAUUUUCAGUAUGAAUACAAACUGUGAAAGCAUGGCCUAUCGAUCCUUUAGUCUUUAGGAGUUUUAAGCUAGAGGUGUCAGAGAAGUUACCACAGGGAUGACCUCCGACUUUGCAAGGAGCUUUACCCACCCGCAGACCUCCCAAAUUGCAUUUACUACCAUCUGAGCAGAAAGUAGAGACGGGUCGCUUCGCUCCCUAAAUAAGUCGUGAAUACUUUUAUAUUCUGUUUUGGCUAGUUUUGAUAGUUUCAAAUUCGUUAAAAGAUAAACGCGUACCGCUUUCCCAAGAAAUGCUUAACGAAAGCCUGUCACAAAUUGAUCUAUCAGACUUGUAAGGCAUAUUGGCAUUAUAAAAGCCAAGCAGUGCCGUGAAUGCUUUCGUUUAUGAUAC
rfam:Nematostella vectensis strain CH2 x CH6 NEMVEscaffold_381_Cont25583, whole genome shotgun sequence.